GAUGAACGCUGGCGGCGUGCCUAAUACAUGCAAGUCGAGCGAACGGACGAGAAGCUUGCUUCUCUGAUGUUAGCGGCGGACGGGUGAGUAACACGUGGAUAACCUACCUAUAAGACUGGGAUAACUUCGGGAAACCGGAGCUAAUACCGGAUGAUAUUUUGAACCGCAUGGUUCAAAAGUGAAAGACGGUCUUGCUGUCACUUAUAGAUGGAUCCGCGCUGCAUUAGCUAGUUGGUAAGGUAACGGCUUACCAAGGCAACGAUGCAUAGCCGACCUGAGAGGGUGAUCGGCCACCCUGGAACUGAGACACGGUCCAGACUCCUAAGGGAGGCAGCAGUAGGGAAUCUUCCGCAAUGGGCGAAAGCCUGACGGAGCAACGCCGCGUGAGUGAUGAAGGUCUUCGGAUCGUAAAACUCUGUUAUUAGGGAAGAACAUAUGUGUAAGUAACUGUGCACAUCUUGACGGUACCUAAUCAGAAAGCCACGGCUAACUACGUG
rnacentral:rRNA from 1 species